AGAGGAUCCCAGUUUCCCCGCUAACACGCAGCUGUCACAUCUAGUUGCAGACAGCCACUUCUUCCCAGCUGUUUUCCUGCUCGGGCAAGAAGGCACCCUAUUCCAAAAGCGAGUCGGCUGGAGGAGGAGUCUACGUGGUGCUUGCUGCAGGUCAAUUUUGUUUGGAAAUGAAUGUUAAGAAAAGCAUUGACUGAUCACUCCAGGUAGCAGUCUCACAACAUCAAUCUAUUGAUUUUCACUGUAUGGGGUGAAGAAGAAACCACCAAGUCAGGUACGACUUUCAGGCUCAAAAAUUAUCCACUUGAAAUUAAACAUAUAUAAUGCACUACAGACUGAAACUUUUAAAAUCCUCUUACAAUGGAGCUUGAAGCAAUUGGUUUUGGAAAUUGCUAGAAGAAAUCUUUAUUAUUUUUUUUUCUCGAAUGCACAAUCACUGUUGUAGAAAAGAAACCAUACAAGCACUUGUUAAGACUUCUACAUUGUAUUGUACCCCACCUAAUAAUUAGCCUCUCAGAAUAUAUUCUGCCUAAAUGUCCCUAGCCACAUUUCCAAAGUAAUCUGAUGCCCAUUGUUCUUCCUUUUGAUAUGCACUGGUAGUCCACAGUAUCUUCUUAUUCUAAUCAGUAUUUCAAUGCCUGUUGAAAUGUCUGUUUAAAUGAAAGUAGCAGUGAUUAGUGGCACAGAUGUUUCCCUGAAAUUAAAAUUGUAUGGGUUAAAACCACAAAUUAAGCCAAGUACAGUCUUUGCAUGCAUAUUCAUGGUUUUUUGGGUGGGGGAUGGGUGGUGGGGCAAACAUUACUGUCAAGUGAAUAUGCUACAGCCUAAAGUUGUGAAACUCUGACUGGGAAAAGAGGGGACAUCUGAAAAUAGGUCAGCAUCAACUCUGAAGAAUGGUUAUACAAUUUUAAUGUGUUGGAAAAAUAAAGUAUCACUUCCCUUCACUCGUGAUCCUUGGAGAGACCUGGGAAAGAGAAAUAGGACAAUCAGAAUUGUAUGCCAAUUGAAAAACUGAAGAAAGAGUUUUAAAAGCUCAUGAAGGAAUCAUCAUUACUUAUUGAUAUAUUAAUAUUAUGUGGUAUUUAUCUGCUAUUGACCUAAAGUGCUAUAAAUAUCAGCAUAUAACAUUUAGUUGCCAAAUGGAACUAUUUAUAAUCACUCAACAAUGACAUAUUGGGUAUAUUUGCUUCUUAUUUGUGUUCACACUUUAGUGUUAUCCAUUAAGGUUUUAGUAUUUGACAAUGAGCAAAGGUUAAGGUAAUUGUAUCAGUGAACUGAUAAUAAUUUCCUAGUUAAGGAAGUCAAUAUGCAUUUGGUGAUUUUUUUUCUUCUAGUAUUUUUCUUUUUAUUUGAAUUUUACAAGCCAUCGUAAUAUGAAGAUAAGAAUCUGUGAAUUAGAUAGAUUCCUCUAACGACUUCCACAUGUAAGAAACUAGUAUUUAGGUCUCCUGAGACCCUAGGCCAUGCUGUAAUAUACUCACCUGAGGCUUUAUUUUCACAGACUUAUGAGAGUGCCCUCUUGUGUUAAUAUUCCUGAUUAAGAGGUUUUCCUUGCUCUUAGUUGAGAAGAAAAUCCCUCAGUGUUUUGUGACACCAGUCCUAUUCCAUAUCCUAUAUCUCUCUAUACUGACCCUGGUAGUGACUACUAUUUUUGAUCAUAGUAAUUAAAUUAUGGCUCCAUUUACUUUCAUUUGGAUUGCUGAAAGUUUUAAAGCAAAUUCUCAAUGAGGAAAUGUAGAAACAAAUAAACAGGUUAAAUUUUCUCAAUAAGUAUAUCACUAUUUUCAUCUCUAUGGGAAAACUAUACCCCAUCCUUUCUAUUAACUAGACAAAAUUACUUGUGCUAUGGGUACGUCAGGGUUUUUCCUAUAGACAGUUACUACCUUUGUUAAAUUAGUUAAUUAAUUUGGUGAGAUAAAUUAAAUAGAUGCAUGAUAGAUAGAUAGAUAGAGAGAUAGACCUAAGCAUAAGGAUUAAAGAAAAGAAAGAUAGUCUAAGAAAGUUGCACCU